AGUUCUACUUAGUGACUCCUAUCUGAACGUGGCUUCCCAGUGAAGCAAAGGAAGAGGUUUGAGCUUCAAAGCACAGUUGCAAGGUUCUUCUCUGAGCUGAACAAUGGCUGUAUCUGUGGACCAACAAAUCCAGGCUCCUCGAGUACAAGAAGAGCUUCGAAUAGUGAAGCUGGAAGAAGAUUCCCACUGGGAGCAGGAAAUUUCCCUUCAAGGGAGUAACCUUGGACCAGAGACCUCCUGCCAUCGCUUUUGGCAUUUCCGCUAUCAAGAGGCAUCUGGACCCCGGGAGGCCCUUAUCCAACUCCAGACGCUCUGCCGUCAGUGGCUGAGACCAGAGAAGUGUACGAAAGAGCAGAUCUUGGAGUUGCUAGUUCUGGAACAGUUCCUGACUAUCCUUCCCCAGGAGGUCCAGGUCUGGGUUAGACAAAAGCAUCCGGAAAGUGGAGAGGAGGCAGUGGCCCUGGUGGAAGACUUGCAGAAAGAACCUGGAAGACGGGAGCUCCAGGCAAUGGUGAAGAACUCACAGCCAGAACCAGAAGAACAAUUGAGCCACAACCCCAGAGUAGAACUCUGAUCUUUCCACAAGAGUGCCCUGCCUGAUCCUCGGGCUCUGGGUCUUUCUGUGGAAGAGAGCAGUGGUGACCAGAGGACGAUGCACAGCUCCCAGGAGGCACAGAGGCAGCCAGAACCUGGACAGAGGAGCCCCCUGGAAGUAACUUGGGAGAAUUCCACAAAUGGAGCCCUGCUAGAUUUUCCUACCCCCAGACCCAGUGUGAGCUCCCACGUGGAGCAGCAGAGAGAACCGCAGAGCCCAGGUCUUCAGUGCUCCAGAGGGCAGAGCGUGGGAGACUCCCCAGGGGGCGGGGGAGAGUCAAGCCUGGCCAGUUGCCCGUCUUGAGAAAAGCCAAGAGCUGGAGUGGCAGGGCCUGGAGGAUGAGAAGGUGGCAGAGGUGCACUGGGGCCAUGAGGAAAUGAAGAUUUUUCUGGACAUUCUCAGUGAGUCCUGGAUCCAUGAAAAACUCUGUACGUGCCAUCAGAACCGCCAAGUUUACCGGAUUGUGGCUGAGCGGCUGUGAGAGUGUGGCUUCCUACGGACCCUGGAGCAGUGUCACUACCGGUUCAAAAACCUCCAGACCAACUACCACAAAGCCAGGAGCAGCCACACUCCAGGCACCUGCCCCUUCUAUGACAAGAUGGAUGCCCUGAUGUGCCCACAGGCUACCACCCCCGUUCCAGAGGUGGCAGGGAGUCUGCUUGGGCAGAGGGACCAUGACGUGGAGCUCGAAGAAUCGCAGAGUGGUUGCUGGGAACAGGAGGAGGCAAUGCCGGCUGAGGCUGUGCUAGAAGGCGGGGCAGAGAGGUGGGGGCGGAACCUGGGCCGUAGGGCAGCAUCUUUAGAAGGGCAUUCAGGAGCCGUGACAGAGGAUUCUGAGGAGGAAGAACUGGGCCUUGAGGAAGUGUCUGAAAGCCUUGGUAUCCCAGCCCUGUUUCGGAGUCCUACUGGUGUGCACUGGGGGUAUGAAGAAACUAAAAUUUUCCUGGGAAUUCUUGGUGAGCCCUACAUUCACGAGAAACUCCGUACCUGCCAUCGGAACCGCCAGGUGUACCGGAUUGUGGCUGAGUGGCUGCGGGAAUGUGGUUUCUUACGGACCCUGGAGCAGUGUCGCUACCGGUUCAAAAACCUCCAGACCAACUACCACAAAGCCAGAAGCAGCCACACUCCGGUCACCUGCUCCUUCUACGACAAGAUGGAUGCCCUGAUGAGUCCCUGGGCCCUUGCCAACACCUUUGAUGCCUUAGAGGUGUCAGGAGGCCUUCUGCAGAAUAGAGGGGACUCCAAGGAGAACCAGAAGGCAAUGCUGGAAGGUGUGACAGGGGAUGGUAAUGAAGUGGAAGAGGAGCCCCGGAGCCUUGGCGCCCAGGCUUUGAGGGGGAGUCCUAAUGGACUUCUAGUUCCCCAGCCAGAUGGGGUCUCAAGGGUUGAGAGAAUUGAAGAGCUUUGGAGUGACAAUCCCUGGGACUUCAAGGAAAUUCGGAAAACUUCCUGUGCAGAUCUUGAAACAAGGACAGAGAAUGAGGAAAAUUCAAGCCAGGACAUUUCAGAGGAAGUAGAACUACCUGGGGCAUUAUUAGAAAGACCCCAAAUGGACGUUUCCCAAUACUUUAAUUGGAAGAAAGACUGUGAAAGUAAAUAUGGGGCAGAAAAGCAAUGGGAAAUAUCCUAAGAAGAUGGACAAGAGUCACUCUCUCCUCUAGAAAGAGACUUAGGUAAAUUCAUAGGUCCUCAGGGAGCCUAUAUAGGAGAAAAGUCCAAUAUAUGCUGUGAAUGUUGAAAGAAUUUCAGCCAGAGCUCCCACUUAGCUAUCCACAGAUUAGCCUACAUCGGAGAAGAGAAACCUUAUAAAUGUGGCCAUUGUGAGAAAAGCUUUGGCUGAAGCUCACAUCUGGUUUGCCACCAGAGAAUCCACACUGGGGAGAAGCCCUGCACAUGCCCCAAAUGGGGGAAAGGCUUCAGCAAUCACUCUAACCUCGCAGCACACCAGAGAAUCCACACAGGAGAGAAGCCCUAUAAAUGUGGAGAGUGCUGGAAAAGCUUCAACCAGAGCUCAAGCCUUCUGAUGCAUCAGAGAAUCCACACAGGAGAGAAACCCCAUAAGUGUAGUGAGUGUGGAAAAAGUUUCACCAAUAGCUCUCAUUUUAGCGCUCACUGGUGAACGCACACUGGCGAAAAACCCUACCAGUGCCCUGAGUGUGGGAAAAAGUUCAGUAAGAGUUCCACUCUCACCAGCCAUCAGAGGAUCCACACAGGAGAGAAACCCUAUGAGUGUCUCGAAUGUGGGAAAAGUUUCAGUGACCACUCAAACCUCAUUACCCACUGGCGCACUCACACUAGAGAGAGACCCUAUAAAUGUGGGGAAUGUGGGAAAAGCUUCAAUCAGAGCUCAAGUCUUAUUAUACACCAGAGAAUCCACACAGGAGAAAAACCCUAUGAAUGCGUUGAAUGUGGGAGGCGAUUCAACAGUAGUUCACAUUUCAGCGCACGUCAGAGAACCCAUGUGAGAGAAAGAUUCUAACU